UUAGAGGCACUGCCUGCCCAGUGACACACGUUUAACGGCCGCGGUACCCUGACCGUGCAAAGGUAGCAUAAUCACUUGUUCUUUAAAUAGGGACUCGCAUGAAUGGCAACACGAGGGUUCAGCUGUCUCUUACUUUUAACCAGUGAAAUUGACCUAUCCGUGAGGAGGCGGACAUGAAAUAAUAAGACGAGAAGACCCUAUGGAGCUUCAAUUUACUAAUGUAACUAAAAAUCGUAUAAAUCCACGGACUUUAAAACUUCUAUGCCUGCNUUAAAAAUUUUGGUUGGGGCGGCCUCGGAGCACAAACAAACCUCCGAAUGAUCCAUGCCAAGGCCUCACAAGCCAAAGCGAACUAAUAUUCACAAUUGACCCAAUAAUUUGAUCAACGGAACAAGUUACCCUAGGGAUAACAGCGCAAUUCUAUUCUAGAGUCCAUAUCAACAAUAGAGUUUACGACCUCGAUGUUGGAUCAGGACAUCCUAAUGGUGCAGCAGCUAUCAAG
rnacentral:rRNA from 1 species